GAUGUUCCGAACAUCACUCCAUCUACGGGAGCACAAAAUAUUCAUCAUACAGAAGGAUCAGGGAGUUGUUCAUCUCAUCUCGUUCUCUUUACAAUCAAACAAUGAUCUAACGAUGGUUUGUUUCCUUCUGUAUAUACACGAGCUCAUACAAACCCGGAGUAGAGUGGAGUGACAAACCUACAGGAUGCCGACGAUGGAACCUUGGCCCUCAUCUUGGCGGCGGCUUCCGCUGAAGCUCGGCGACCCACCGCUCCUGCUACAUCCCGGAGGCGUGGCGACUACCGCUGAAGCUCGGCCGCCCGGCUCUCCUGCUGCAACGAGGAGGCUCCGGCUGAAGCUCAGCAGGGCGCAGGCUCCCGAUAGUACGAGCAGACGCCGGCGGGAUCCCAACUGAAUCUCAAGGGAAGGUGGUGACCGGCGAUGAAGCUCCUCUCAUCACCGCCGCCGCCGCUGUUCCCCUCCACUGCCACCGUUUAGGUGGCUUGGUUCCGGAUGAUGAAACUCCGCCGCCCACUCGUCGUCAUCUCCGGCCUCAUCUGUGACGGCGUCGCUAAGUGACCACACAUGCACAGCUACGAACGCUCGGUCUCGUUCCUCGGCCAGCGAGCACGACGACCGGCGGUCGACCCGGUUCCUCGGGUGAUAAGGCACGGCUACGACGCACAGCUCCGGCUCCCCGAGCAGUGAAACGCGACCAUCAGCGGUCGCGUCGGCCUCGGCCUUAGCUGCGUCGGCCCUCAACUCCCGUGCUUGGAUUGCGGCCAGCUGCUCAUCCUCCUCAUUGCCACCUCUCGGUUGUCGGCAGAGAAAACGCAGACCCGCACGCGGCGGCUCCUUCCUCCGGCAUCAACGUCUCAGCAGCAAACUCCGCGAGGGAGGCGCAGGGAAAGCGCCCACCCGCAUGCGGUGGCUCCUCCCUCGGGCUCGAUCGUGGGCUGGCAGAGCUCUCGUCGCUGCAAACCUCUAUCAUGCAACAUGGGCGGGUCACCUCCCCGUUGAUUAAGGGCACAUCCAGGUGGCAGGAGAAG
rnacentral:lncRNA from 1 species